GACGAACGCUGGCGGCGUGCUUAACACAUGCAAGUCGAACGGAAAGGCCCUGCUUUUGUGGGGUGCUCGAGUGGCGAACGGGUGAGUAACACGUGAGUAACCUGCCCUUGACUUUGGGAUAACUUCAGGAAACUGGGGCUAAUACCGGAUAGGAGCUCCUGCUGCAUGGUGGGGGUUGGAAAGUUUCGGCGGUUGGGGAUGGACUCGCGGCUUAUCAGCUUGUUGGUGGGGUAGUGGCUUACCAAGGCUUUGACGGGUAGCCGGCCUGAGAGGGUGACCGGCCACAUUGGGACUGAGAUACGGCCCAGACUCCUACGGGAGGCAGCAGUGGGGAAUAUUGCACAGUGAGCGGAAGCCUGAUGCAGCAACGCCGCGUGCGGGAUGACGGCCUUCGGGUUGUAAACCGCUUUCGCCUGUGACGAAGCGUGAGUGACGGUAAUGGAUAAAGAAGCACCGGCUAACUACGUG
rnacentral:rRNA from 1 species